rnacentral:misc_RNA from 1 species
UAAAUAAUCCUACCCUUUGUGAAUUUUGUUUGUUUGAAUAAUUUUUUUUUUUUAAAAAAUUAUUGGAGUCUUUCCCUUUAGAGUUUGCUUUUGAGUUUGUAAAAGAAUUCGAAAACAUCUAAAGGGGAUGGUCAAUAAUUUUUUUUGAAAAAAGACAUUUUUUAAAAUUAAACUUUUUGUAUUCAUUUGUCUAAAAAUUAUUUUUAUAAUAUAAAAACAACUUUUGACAAUGGAUCUCUUGGUUCUCGCAACGAUGAAGAACGCAGCAAAAUGCGAUAAGUAGUGUGAAUUGCAGAUACGUGAAUCAUCGAAUCUUUGAACGCAUAUUGCACUUUUUUAGUUUACUAAAAAAGUAUGUCUGUUUGAGUAUCAGUAAAAUAUUCUCAUAAAAAUCAUUGUGUAUUUUUAUGGUUAUGAGUGUUUUACAACGAUACAAGUUGUUUCACUUUAAAUUUUUUUUAAUAUUGAAAUUUUUCUAAUUUUAAUAAUUAAAAUUGGAUAAAUUUUCCCGUCAAAAGGAAUAACCUAAACAAUUUUAAAUGAUUAAUUUUAGCAAAAUUUUCGUAAAAAAGGAAAAUUUUUAUUAAAAUAACUUGAUCUCAAAUCAGAUAAGAGUACCCGCUGAACUUAAGCAUAUCAAUAAGCGGAGGAAAAGAAACUAACAAGGAUUCCCUUAGUAACGGCGAGUGAAGCGGGAAGAGCUCAAAUUUGAAAUCUUCAAGGUUUUACCUUGACGAAUUGUAGUUUAAAGAUGUGUUUUCUGCUGAAGUUUUGGUAAAAGUUCUUUGGAAUAGGACAUCAUAGAGGGUGAGAAUCCCGUAUUUGACCAUUAUUUUCAGCUUUGUGAUACACUUUCAAAGAGUCGGAUUGUUUGGGAAUGCAGUCCAAAAUGGGUGGUAAAUUUCAUCUAAAGCUAAAUAUUGGCGAGAGACCGAUAGCGAACAAGUACCGUGAGGGAAAGAUGAAAAGAACUUUGAAAAGAGAGUUAAACAGUACGUGAAAUUGUCAAAAGGGAAGCGUUUGACACCAGUGUUGUUUUCUCGAAAAUCAAUUAAAAAUGGCUCGAUUUUGCAUUGCUGAGACCUUAAAAGCUCACUGUACAUUUUUCGUGUCUUUUUUAAUGCACUUUUCGUUUAACAAGUCAACAUCAGUUCUUUUGUUGUAAAAGGGUCAUUGGAAGGUGGCUUUCUUUUCGGAGAAAGUGUUUAUAGCCUUUGGCCUCUGCAAUCGGAGAGACUGAGGUCUGCAGCGUAGACUCUUCGGGUUAGAUACAUUUGUGCUAAGUUAUAGCUUUUUAUAGACAACUUGUUGACUAUAAUUAGUCUUGUAGCUUACUCGCUUAUGCUAUUUUACCUACGC